UUUGAAAUCUGGCGUCUUCGACGUCCGAGUUGUAAUUUGAAGAAGGCGACUUUGUAGCUGGUCCUUGUCUAUGUUCCUUGGAACAGGACGUCAUAGAGGGUGAGAAUCCCGUGUGGCGAGGAUCCCAGUUAUUUGUAAAGUGCUUUCGACGAGUCGAGUUGUUUGGGAAUGCAGCUCUAAGUGGGUGGUAAAUUCCAUCUAAAGCUAAAUAUUGGCGAGAGACCGAUAGCGAACAAGUACAGUGAUGGAAAGAUGAAAAGAACUUUGAAAAGAGAGUGAAAAAGUACGUGAAAUUGUUGAAAGGGAAGGGCAUUUGAUCAGACAUGGCGUUUGCUUCGGCUUUCGCUGGGCCAGCAUCAGUUUUAGCGGUUGGAUAAAUCCUCGGGAAUGUGGCUCUGCUUCGGUAGAGUGUUAUAGCCCGUGGGAAUACAGCCAGCUGGGACUGAGGAUUGCGACUUUUGUCAAGGAUGCUGGCGUAAUGGUUAAAUGCCGCCCGUCUUGAC
rnacentral:rRNA from 1 species